UCCGUAGGUGAACCUGCGGAAGGAUCAUUAACAAAUCUCAAAACAGUUUUGCCCAUGAUGAGUCUGUGGAGGCGAAAGUAUCCAUAGCCAGUCAUGGGUAUCACACAAACACAUAUUGAUUGACACAUUUCAGAAGACCAAGAACUUAAAUGUUAACAACUUUUAACAAUGGAUCUCUUGGCUCUUGCAACGAUGAAGAACGCAGCAAACUGCGAAACGUAAUGUGACCUGCAAUCUUCGUGAAUCAUCCAAUCUUUGAACGCAAUUUGCACCUCGUCGCUUCGGUGACAAGGUAUACUUGUUUGAGUAUCACAAACAACCUCACCCUCCCUUUUGGGCAUGUGGACUUGAGAGUUCUACUUUGCGGUAGUCUCUUUAAAAUCAGGUUUUGAAGUCUCAGCAUGAGAUGAUUAUUGGGAUAACAUCCUAACAAUAGUCAUUGUUUUGACUUGAACUCUUCAAUGGGUACAAAGCCACCUGUUCGCAGCAUCGCAAGGUGUUGUGACCAUCACUUUUAAGUUGAUCUCAAAUCAAGUAGGGAUACCGCUGAACUUAAGGCAUAUCAAUAAGGCGGGAGGGGAAGGUCGACUGGCCAAGGGCACACAGGGGGGGAUA
rnacentral:rRNA from 1 species